UACGAAGGGGGCUAGCGUUGUUCGGAAUUACUGGGCGUAAAGCGCGCGCAGGCGGCCUUUCAAGUCAGGGGUGAAAGCCCGGAGCUCAACUCCGGAAUUGCCUUUGAAACUGCCAGGCUCGAGUACGGGAGAGGUGAGUGGAAUUCCCAGUGUAGAGGUGAAAUUCGUAGAUAUUGGGAAGAACACCGGUGGCGAAGGCGGCUCACUGGCCCGUUUCUGACGCUCAGGCGCGACAGCGUGGGGAUCAAACAGG
rnacentral:rRNA from 1 species